CAGUAACUUUGCUUAUAAAAUGACGUCUUGUGUGAUUAAAUGGUGCAAAAACAAUACCAAAGUAAACAAAAAAUCUGAAGGAAUAUCGUUUCACACGUUUCCAACGAAUAUUUUAAUAAGAGAUGAAUGGGUAGCGGCUGUAAGACUGAGAAAAUGACCACGAUUAUGCUGGCCAUGCGCAUAAAGUCAAUUUAAUAUGAUUAGUGAUUGAAAAAUAUUUGAACAUAAGACUACAUCAUAUUAGUAAAAUGCAAACAAUGACGAUGACUCUGAGUUCUAAGCGACAAAAAUUUUAAAAACUUAUACAACAUAAAGGAUUCUAGGUUUAAGAAAAAUAGUUAAAAAAAAAC
rnacentral:misc_RNA from 1 species